CUUUCUGUGGUGUAGUGGUUAUCACGUUCGCUUCACACGCGAAAUGUCACUGGUUCGAAACCGGGCGGAAACA
rnacentral:tRNA from 1 species